UACGUGGGUGGCAAGCGUUGUCCGGAAUUACUGGGUGUAAAGGGAGCGCAGGCGGGAAGCCAAGUCAGCUGUGAAAACUACGGGCUUAACUUGUAGACUGCAGUUGAAACUGGUUUUCUUGAGUGAAGUAGAGGUUGGCGGAAUUCCGAGUGUAGCGGUGAAAUGCGUAGAUAUUCGGAGGAACACCGGUGGCGAAGGCGGCCAACUGGGCUUUAACUGACGCUGAGGCUCGAAAGUGUGGGGAGCAAACAGG
rnacentral:rRNA from 1 species